ACAAUAAAAAAUAGAUUAAUAUUAGUAAUAACAAAGCCACUCUAAGUCUUAUCAACUAUUCAUAUUUUUUCUAAUUUUAGACUUAAAUAUUUUCUUGUAACUUAUGAUAUCUAUUUGGCUCUUUAUAUUUUAUUACCACUUACACACACACCCCCGCAUGCAUGUAUAUCCCUUCAGUGCACUGAAAUGUACGUAGUUUCGUAACCUAAUUUUGUGAAGUCAGUCAGCUCACACUAACUUAGUCCGAUGGAAUGGGUUUUCGGAAGGUUUGUUAAAUGCGCAAAACUUAAUGCAUGCACAAGAUAGAUUCAUCGCCUUCGUCCUUGACCUGCACAAAUCAACUCCCAAAACUCAAGCGCAAGAGCGAUGUGCAACCCCCCCUCCACACCAAUCCUCCCGACGAUUUUCCAUGUUGAGUCGACAUCUGCCCGCAAUGUCUCACCUGCGAUGGUGAAAGCCGUUGGGUGUUGGAAUUUUGUAGCAGGCAAAAACUAGUCCUACAGCACUGCAAUCGAAACUCUAGCAGAAGCUUCUCUUCAUGGCGGUGUCAGCGUUGAUGCUGCCGCAGCAACAAGUAGACCCAGGAACUCGCUGGAAUAGCAGAGCCAUGGUCGUUGAAAUCCCGAUUUGAGGAGUUCCCUGCCGCCUCCCUUCCAUUUAGAAUCGUAUCGGCUUCGCCGGCAAAAUCUCGAGUGCCAUCGGCGAAAUCACCUUUACGGGUUGCGAAAUCUCCAACUCUACCUACAUUGAAGGAGCUUCUGUACGAACCAACUCCAGAACUCAAACAGCCUUUGGCUGCCCCAUCCAAAUCUCCUCGACAAAGUUUACGGUCCUUGUGGAGCGCCCGGGAAGAUCGGCCCCCGACGUCUUUCCUCUCCAACUCGAAGAAUGUGCCCACCUUGCAGAGAAGUCUUCAGCAGUCAGCCGUGGAGACGACGUCGACAUUUUUCCCAUCAACUGCAACUUUUGCGCCUCCUAUUGCACAUACCUCUCUACCUUUGUCUCCUAGCACUGUCGCGGGUCAACCGCAUUACAUCACGCCCAUCACGUCAGCACGUGGGCAGGAUGGAGCGACUCGGAAAUCAACGAGUCCGGCUAGGUUGCUUGUUUCCACCAAGCGCCUCGCCUUCUGGAACUCCUGUAACAUCACUGAUGCGGAUUCAUUCAACAAUCGGUCAGCAAAUGCUACUCCCGAAUUCGAGCAACUCACCGACUCCUCACCUCCCGAUUACUCCCCUAUUCAUGACGAAGACUUCGCCGAUUAUGUAAAGAUGACCAAGCUUCGACGAAGUCGAGAAAUGAAUCGAAAUUCGCUAGAAUUGCAGCCAUGCCAGUUGCGCUUGGAAAAGGGUUAACAACGCCCAUGUUAGUACUUAACUUGUGCUUAUAUCUGGUGGCCGCCAUUUAAGCAGUCUGGGCAUUGAACAGCAAGUUCGACGUGGCUAUGGACUGCAAUCUUUGCCGCUCUUCCCCUCUCAGUCGAGGAUCCGGAAGGUUCAUCGUUCACUUCAAGCUUCUCCAGAGAUUUGGCUGCAAUCCAAGCCCGACUCCGACAGAUCUCGACACCGAUCGUCACUAUCAGAUGUCGACUCAACAUGAAAAAAUGUCGAGAGGAUUGGUGUGGAGGGGAUGCACAUCGCUCUUCCGCUGGAGUUGUGGGAGUUGAUUUGUGUAGGUCAAUGACGAACGUGAUGAAUCUAUCUUCUGCAUGUUCAGUGCGAGUUUUGAUGUUUGUUUGGAUGCACAUCCUCAAUGCGCAUCCAACAAACCUCUCGAAAAUCUAUCGGAUUAGUGUGAGCUGACUGACCUCACAAAACACCUUACGAAACCUACACUUAAGUGCACUGAUGGGACAUAUUUGCGCGGGUGAAUGGCCCGGGUGCUCAUCCUGUAAAACCUAGCGGUUCUGUUAUUUUACUGUUAUAUAACAUUCUCAAGUUAGGUUUUUCCAAUCUCCUCAGUAGCCUUCUAUUUUCACUUUUUAACAUGUUAAUCUCAUCGUAAUAGAGUCAAUAGUUUUUUUUCUUUUCAAACCUUAAGUUAUUUUUAUUGUUACAUAGCAUGUGCUAAUGUAACAUUCUCGGAUCAUGUUUUCAAAUCUCCUCAACAGUAUUCUAUUCUCACAAAUUAUCAUUAGUUUUUAAGGCUGGUAUGAUGAAACAUAAAAUGACUACUAAAAAUAAAUAUAAACAACGGAAUGAAAUGCAAAGAAAUAAAUCCCAUCACAAUCAAUAUAAAAUUUGCACAUUCACCUUACAGCAACAAAGCAAAGCACUUCAUAACAAUCUGUUGAUGCAUACCAGACCAUGGAACCCAUGAUCCACAUGAGAAGAAAUGAUCAUUCUUCGCAUUAAAUAUCAAAAAAAGCAAACUACCCAUGUCUUGAUAUUCAUAUCCAAUAAUUCAUCCAAAGCGCAGAUCUUUUAAAACCCUACACGACGAGAAAGUUUGUCAGGGGAACGGCACCCACCACCAAGGAAGGAAGCAACCAAGCAAAGAGCACGGACGCCUUCAAUCCACACACCGAGAAUCCAAAACUCUGCAACAACAACAACAACAAAAUCAGGGCGGAAGUAGAAGCCAAACGCGCAUACACACACACAAACAAGAAUGAAGCGGGCAUGGGUGCACCUGGUGCAGAUGAAGGAUGAGAACUAUGGAUCAUAAAAAACUCGAUGUUCACAGAAGGUGUUCACAGAAGGUUAUCCAUUCGUUGGCCAGAGGACGGGCAUCCGUGAAACGCGUGGUGCCGGAAAAGUAGGCUCGGAACGCGAAAGCGCGAGCGCCGACAGGAAAUGGAAGGGUUUAGUCUCGUCGUCGAAGGGGGGGGGGUUUUUUGGUGGG
rnacentral:lncRNA from 1 species